GAGCCCUUCCUCAAAGUGACAGUUGCCUGUACAUGUUCUCUGAAAUAACAGUGAAGAUCAGGACUAAAAGAUGUUGGAUCUCCCAACCUAUCCAUGGCAACUGAAUUUGCAGAGAAGUUUGACAUUUAUAACAGAAGUCAGAAAUAAAAUUUCAUGUAUGAAUAAGUCCCAUGGGCAGCUCAAUCCCCAAACCUUUCACACAACAUAGACUUUCAUCUAAUUCACAGACUUCUCCACAAGCUACUAUCACUGCCUCUUCUCCACAUCUACCCUGGUGCUCCUUUAAUCCCAAGAGAGUAAAAGGAGCAGGGCACCCUCAGCUCUCCAUAUCAGGGCUGCCUUUUGGGGCUGCAAGAUGGCAUGUGAAGGAUGGUUCCUUCUGCGUGCAGCACAGAUCUGCCCCAAGCUGCCUGUCUAUCUCCUAAAGGGGGAUUGCACCCUUGUUGGAGAGGCUGGGUACCCUUACAGCUCUGGGAACAGCAAAGGUGGAUGUUUGCUUUUCUACAUGCUGGAUCUGGAGAUUGGGCCUGAGCAGCUUUUGUCUGCUGCAGAGUAUUUAAAAUCUCAAGCAGAAGCACAUCCCAGAACUGCCUAAUCCUUCUUGAUAGACCUUCCUCCAGCGUGCUGUGGGUGGCCUCUGCCAGCGCUGGGGCGCCAGCACUGCUAGCCAUACAGAAAGAUUUCUUAGCUGUGUUGGCACUCAGUCCAGGAAGACAGAUGGUCAGAGGUGGUAGUGCCCAGGGCUCUCUCACUGCCUUUGCAUGAUGGCCACUAUAGCAGGAUUGGACUUCCCUCUAAUCCUCAAAGAUGUCGCAUGUCAUUCCAGAUGCUCCAUCCCUGACAGAGAUGAUGAUACCUUUUUCCAGGGAGGGAAUGUUUUCUGGACACCUCGUACUCACCAGAACCACAGUACAAAAAGGAUGUAAAACUGUUGGAGAGUGUCCAGAGGAGGGUGACGAAGAUGGUGAAGGGACUAGAGGGGAAGACGUAUCCGGACUGGCUGAGGGCACUGGACCUGUUCAGCCUGGAGAAGAGGAGGCUGAGGGGGGACCUCAUCAUGGUCUAUAACUUUCUGUGCCACUCACACUGACAUAGAGAGGAUUGUAUCAUGUCAAUGCUGUUAUGUAAAUAACUGAUCCAUUUUGUCUGGAAAAGUGAGCCAAAAGAGUGCAUUUUAGUAAGAUGCUGUAUUCUUGUGGUUGAGAUGAAUUAAGGUACUUUUAUGUGUUGGAUUUAUGGAACUCUGACAGAGAAUAGUAGAGCAAGAUAUUAAAGAAAAUAUUACUCAGCAAUAAAGAAGCUACUUGCAUGUCUUA